AGUGGUCUAUGCUCGUCUCAAAGAUUAAGCCAUGCAUGUCUAAGUUCACAACAAAAGUUGAAACUGCGAAGCGCUCAGUAAAUCAGUUAUUGUCCCUUCGAUCGUAGUACCACAUCGGAUAACUGUGGCAAAUCUAGAGCUAAUACGUGCGAAUAUUACUACCAAGUAGUAGCAUUUAUUAGUAUAAACAAAUUUAUUUGUAGGUGAAUCUAGAUAACUUUGCUUAUCAUCCAAUUGGAUGAUUGUUCGAUCGAAUUUCUGCCCUAUCAUUUUGUCGGUGAGGUAGUGGCCCACCGAGGAUGCAACGGGUAACGGGGAAUCAGGGUUCGAUUCCGGAGAGGGAGCCUGAGAAACGGCUACCACAUCCAAGGAAGGCAGCAGGCGCGCAAAUUACCCAAUCCAGACACUGGGAGGUAGUGACGAGAAAUACCGAAUCAAACUACAUGUUUGAUACCGGAACAUACUUGAUUUAAUAAAUCUCGUUUUUAUUGGAGGGCAAGUCUGGUGCCAGCAGCCGCGGUAAUUCCAGCUCCAAUAGUGUACAUCAAAAUUGUUGCACUUAAAACGCUCGUAGUUGGAUUGCAGUCCGUCAGCCAUGUUCAUCUAUUAAUGUUGACUGGUUACGGAAAAUUUUGCAGGACUCGUCAGGCUGCUUAACUGCAGUCUGUUGAAUAUCCUGCAGAGCGUGCCUUGAAUAAAGCAUAGUGCUCAAAACAGGCGCAAGCUCGAGUGUAAUAGCAUGGAACGAAUACACGCCACAUUUGUGGUUGAUUAAAAGGAACAUUAGAGGGCAUUAGUACUUGAUGGCGAGAGGUGAAAUUCUUAGACCCGUCAAAGACUGACUAUUGCGAAAGCAUUUGCCAAGAAUGUUUUCAUUAAUCAAGAACGAAAGUUAAAGGUUCGAAGACGAUCAGAUACCGUCCUAGUUUUAACUGUAAACUAUGCCAACAAGGAAUUAUCCUGCUUACAAGUUGGUUAGUUUCCACGCGAAAGCGAAAGUUUUCAGGCUGUGGGGAUAGUAUAGUUGCAAGGCUGAAAUUUCAAGAAAUUGACGGAGAGGCACCACCAGGAGUGGAGCCUGCGGCUUAAUUUGACUCAACACGGGGCAACUUACCAGGUCCAGACAUCGGAAGGAUUGACAGACUGACUAGAUCUUUCAUAAUUCGAUGAUUGGUGGUGCAUGGCCGUUCUUAGUUGGUGGAGUGAUCUGUCAGGUUAAUUCCGGUAACGAACGAGAUUUUGGUCCCUAUUUUCCUUCUCUUCCAGUUAAGAGUGAUUAGGGAGACUUUACUUGCAAAAGUAAGGAAGUAAAGCAAUAACAGGUCUGUGAUGCCCUUCGAUGUCCUGGGCUGCACGCGCGCUACAAUGAAAACUGCAAAAAGUUUCUGUUCCGAGAGGGAUGGGUAACCUUGUAAAUGUUUUCAUGCUAUGGAUUGAGCCUUGUAAUUAUUGCUCAUGAAAGAGGAAUUCCUUGUAAGCGCGAGUCACCAGCUCGUGUUGAAUACGUCUCUGCCUCUUGUACACACCGCCCGUCGCUACUACCGAUUGAAUCUAUUUCCAAGAAGUUUGGAUUUUUUUGGCAUUUAUGCUGAGAGAGAGAA
rnacentral:rRNA from 1 species